GUCAUCACUCUGUCAAGUCCAGAAUAAAGUCUUUUGAAAAAGCCCUCAAUCUUCAGCUCUUACAAUUUUUCAGCUCCCCAUUCAAUUAUCUUCUUUUGGCUUGGAUGGAGUGGGUAACACGGAUGUCACGCUUGGGAUGAGCACUCCCCAAAUCACGUACUUUCUUCACUUUGAAUAGCUGUGAGUUGCUAUGAAAAUCACUGUCUACUGCCAUAAGAAACCUCUCUGAUGAGAGUUGAGAGCUACACUAAUCUGUGGUUAUGCAGAUUUCACCUGCCUAUCAUUUUAACCUGCAAUAACCAAGCAGCCUGAAGACACCACUGAGUUUAGAUGGAAUAACUGCUAACAUCCCAUCUAAAGCUGUGUUAUCCUUGCUGUCUGUGGCAACUGAAUGAUAAUUUUUUUAAAAGAUAAAUAGUAAUAGUCAAGGGCCUGUGGUAGUGACACUUCAGUAAUCAUGUGGAAGACUUAUAAGAAAGCAAAACUUCAAGUAAACAGGCAGCUGGCCACCAAAACGAGUUUUAUACUGUUUAAUACAGAUAACUUCAGAUGCCUUAAAAUGUCAAGGGUUGAAGUCAUUACACAUAGCCAUCAUCUGUGACAAUUCAGCCAGCAUUUAAAACUCAUUUCUGAGAUAGCUUCUCCCAAAUUGAAGCCUGAGGGCAUGUGGAAUCUUAAAUCUAUCUUUUCGUAAAUAGUCUUAGCAAAGCUGACCACCAUGCUCCUCAGAUCCUGGGAGGCACAGUACACUCUAAAGUUUCCAUUACCACUUUUACUGAAUUUUGUGCUACCAGUUUUCAUUUGCCUACUGGAUGCAAGUCUCUCUUCCUUUGAAAUCGCUGCAACUUUGAAAAAAAAUAGCACUUGCAGAAGCAUUCCCUAGUACAAAUGCCAGAGAAGCAAGCAGAAGAAGUCAAAUGUUUUAACUUUUUAAAAAACUUGUUUAUCACAGCAACAGAGAAGCAACCUGGGACAAAAGUCAGAAGGAAGGAGAUCCAGCUUCGUGGACCACAUUACCCAGAUGGAUUCAAGAGUCAUAUUCUGAAGACCAUCACAAGAAAUGAUUGCUUCUCAUGAACAAUUAGUACAAUUGCAUUUUAAAAUAAAACUUUAUUGAGAAAA